AGUGGGGUGCCUGACAAAAAGGAUCAUUUUGAUAGAAUGAAUCAUGUAAUUUUCCCAUUACCCCCACUG
rnacentral:tRNA from 1 species